rnacentral:tRNA from 1 species
GCCGAAAUAGCUCAGUUGGGAGAGCGUUAGACUGAAGAUCUAAGGUCCCUGGUCGAUCCCGGGUUUCGGCA